rnacentral:misc_RNA from 1 species
UUCUUGUCCAGGAGAGGG